GACGAACGCUGGCGGCGUGCUUAACACAUGCAAGUCGAACGGAAAGGCCUCUUUCGGGGGGUACUCGAGUGGCGAACGGGUGAGUAACACGUGAGUAACCUGCCCUUGACUUUGGGAUAACUUCAGGAAACUGGGGCUAAUACCGGAUAGGAGCUCCUGCUGCAUGGUGGGGGUUGGAAAGUUUCGGCGGUUGGGGAUGGACUCGCGGCUUAUCAGCUUGUUGGUGGGGUAGUGGCUUACCAAGGCUUUGACGGGUAGCCGGCCUGAGAGGGUGACCGGCCACAUUGGGACUGAGAUACGGCCCAGACUCCUACGGGAGGCAGCAGGGGGGAAUAUUGCACAAUGGGUGGAAGCCUGAUGCAGCAACGCCGUGUGCGGGAUGACGGGCUUCGGGUUGGAAACCGCUUUCGCUCAUGACGAAGCUUUGUGUGACGGUAGUGGGUAAAGAAGCACCGGCUAACUACGUG
rnacentral:rRNA from 1 species